ensembl:lncRNA
GAACAGAGUUAGCCAAACAAAUCUGAACUCACAAAGUAAGUGAAAGACUUGGUAUUGUUGUUCUUCCUAUCAAGAGAAUUGUAUAAAUGAAUAAAAUGAACUCAAGAACCCACACUCUGAAUGUGCCUACCUGGAAGCUAAAAUAUUGAUAUUGUUGCACAAGGAUGCUUUCCAGUUCUUCUCCUGCAGGCCUGCUGAACCCACAAGGUCUGAAUGAAACGCCAGCAGUCUGGGAGAAGAAUGUGAAAGGCUCAAAGGGUUGAGAGCAUUGGGGAAACCAUGCUGAAUGUCAAACUGAGUGCUAGAGAAGCCAAAGCAACAGCACAAUUCUGCACUCAGCUAGCAAUCCUGGGCUGGUGAUUGAAGUAUUUUUGCUGAAUCUUCAACAUCAUAAGUAUCACAGAGAUCAGUCAAAGGAUGGGAGGCCGUCUAAAGUAAAAACAACACAAUUAUUCUCUUUCUUUUAAUAGGAAACAUUGGGUGUUAACAAAACGUGUAUCAAUAAGAGUAAUUUGAUUCUCCUUGUGUGUGCUCUGUGUUUGUUCCUUUUAAUAAUAAUAAUAAUACAUUUUAUUUGAAAGUGCCUUUCAAAACACUCAAGGUCUGUUACACCCCGGCCUAGGCAACCGGCGUGCAACGUAUGAAAAUAAAAAUAAGAAAAAAAAAAAAAAAAAACACACGAGAAACAAACUAAAGCUCUCCACCAAAAUCCCAAAACGAAGGUGUCUCAAACGAAAAUAUUAACAAACCCAUUCACAGCUAUUUACAACAGACUAUUUAUUUACAUCAAAACACCAAACUAUUUACAACACGGGGGAGAUCGCGACCAUGACCAACUGACACACAGGGCUUAAAUACAUAGAAGGAGCAAUCAGGGAAUGGACCACAGGAGGGAAACACAGCUGGGGCAAAUUAGACCUGACGAGACAAGGAAACGUAAACUGAACACACUAAGAUAACAACAGACCUUCAAAGUAAAACAGGAAACACAUGACAGUCACGCAAAAACAAAACACUGACAACACCGAAACGUAACAAGGUCACUGUACAUAGUAGAAUAAAAGCAACAUAAACGCAAGCAGUU